rnacentral:rRNA from 1 species
GAUCAUGGCUCAGGACGAACGCUGGCGGCGUGCUUAACACAUGCAAGUCGAACGAAGAGCGACGGAAGCUUGCUUCUAUCAAUCUUAGUGGCGAACGGGUGAGUAACGCGUAAUCAACCUGCCCUUCAGAGGGGGACGAACAGUUGGAACGACUGCUAAUACCGCAUACGAUCUAAUCUCGGCAUCGAGGAUGGAUGAAAGGUGGCCUCUACAUGUAAGCUAUC